UACGGAGGGAGCUAGCGUUGUUCGGAAUUACUGGGCGUAAAGCGCACGUAGGCGGGUCGUUAAGUCAGGGGUGAAAUCCCGGAGCUCAACUCCGGAACUGCCUUUGAUACUGGCGACCUUGAGGCUGGAAGAGGUUAGUGGAAUUCCCAGUGUAGAGGUGAAAUUCGUAGAUAUUGGGAAGAACACCAGUGGCGAAGGCGGCUAACUGGUCCAGAUCUGACGCUGAGGUGCGAAAGCGUGGGGAGCAAACAGG
rnacentral:rRNA from 1 species